rnacentral:rRNA from 1 species
UACGUAGGGGGCGAGCGUUGUCCGGAAUCAUUGGGCGUAAAGAGCGUGUAGGCGGCUAUUUAAGUCCUGCGUGAAAUCCUGCGGCUCAACCGCAGACGGUCGUGGGAAACUGGAUGGCUAGAGUGCGGGAGAGGAGAGUGGAAUUCCUGGUGUAGCGGUGAAAUGCGUAGAUAUCAGGAGGAACACCGGUGGUGUAGACGGCUCUCUGGACCGUAACUGACGCUGAGACACGAAAAGCGUGGGUAGCAAACAGG